UCAUCCUGCAAAACAUUCAUUUGUUAUUUAUUGCUGCUCUUGGCACUUCUUUGACUCCUUUGACUGGCUUGAUUUCCGCGAUCGGACGGCGGAUUCGCGUCCCUUCUCACCUCAUCUUUGGUCCAUCGGCCUCGAUUGAUGGCCUUCUUAGCCACCAGGCUAGCGGCCGACCCGUUGGCGUUCACCGACCCGUCCAUGGUUUUCUUGGUCACCCUUUCGAAUCAGGGCGUGGCGGGAUAGUCGAUCGACCGACCCAAUCCCACAAUGCAGUCAGUCAAUCCCACCGCUCGGACCGUGGGCCACACCCAAAUGGAGUGCCAGGGAGGCUCUUAACACGUUCCGGGCACCAAGCCCGAGGGUAAUGUGCGGCUCCAACUGCUCAUCAUCCUGGGCGAGCUAGCCGACAGGCGGGACCGCAGAUUUGAGCCGAUCUCAAGCAAUAAUCGGCGAGGUCCAGGUCCCAAUAAAACCAAACGAAUGGAUCGCCAUGCGGGUGGGUCCGCCCGGGAAUCAAUGGGACGCACAGCGGGCACGGGCUGGGAUCACACCCAGACGCAAUAUGGACGGAACUAACACGGCAAGACGGCGCGACGGAUGAAGAUGCUGAAGAUGUUGAUGAGGAUGAUUUUGAGAAUGAAGACGAGGAUGAAGGUUUUGGCGCGCGCUGACGUCACAGAACAAAAACCACAGACUCGAUCCCCGCUCUCGAGCUUCCGAGCGAGUCUCGCCCUCGCAAUUCAGCCACAGCGUGACCAAAACACCACCCCAUAGCUCCAUUGGGCUUGAGAAAGGACAAAGCUGUAAGGCAGAAGGGGGAUUUAUGCAGAGGUAUAUUCAGAUAUGAAAGGGGCUCCAAUCAUCAUGAGGUGUAUGAAGAGAUCCUAGUCAUGUUCAGUUUGAUAUCAAACUCUAGCCCCAACUGUUUUUUGUUCAGGUUUGGCCAUUAUUAUGUAAUGUGCAUGCCCAUAGUUUAACAACAUGACUUGAUAAAGCAUUGCCAUAAAUAUAUUUAAAUCAGAUUGACCAUAAUUUAGGCCCGAAAGAACAACCUUAUUCAGUACUUCAGUUAUUAAGUCACCCUGAUAAGGCGGGGUAAGUGUCGUCGAAGUAUCAUGGUUGUCAUGCCAUUCGCUUGUGGAUUUAUGGAUGAUAAGGGGGACAAAAAAAUUAGUAUGGUAGUGGCCGCUCAUACAAUUAGCACACUUUUGUGUUGUAUCAGAUCCUUUUGUGCCAUGAACCAUCGCACAUGUCGAAUAUACGCUUUUUGAUAUCAUAUGUUGAGUAACACUGACUCCCACUGCAAUAUCUUGAUUUCGUGUGAAGAAGGGAGGGAGUACUGCAAGGUUCGGAAGUUGACCCAGGUGACGGGCCAGCUCUGCCAGAAAUGAGAGAGAACCGCCCGGGUGCUCAUGGGAAACCAAAUUUUGAGGGCGCUGGUGACCCAGCUAUUAAGACCUAGUCGAGCUGGCCCACCAGUGAAUCUACCCGGGGGAACGGAGGCAAAGACCGGAGGGAGACCACCAGGUCGAGCGGAAAAAGCUCAUCCUCUCUGGGAUGCCAUCACUAGGGCGCUGCAGCGAUUGGUAUCACGGUGAAUCGAGAGGAACAAUGGCCCCUCUACGUCUCGAAAGACGGAUCGGGAAUACAUUCGUUGUGCUACAAGAGACCAGACAAGAGAGGGAGAGGAGAGAGCGUGAACCGGCCAAAGAAAGACAAUUGGUUUCCAGGUCUUGUCUUGGUGACUACUACUCGAUAGCGGGCUCGAUCAUAUGGCGGGAUUUUUUAGCAAAGAAGAAUGUGCAGGAUGUCUGUUACUGUUGGCUCUUGGGAUUUUCAGGUUACUAGGCUGAAUUCUGGGACAGCGCAUCCAACUCUACAUGAUCGAUGAUGAGUUUCCAUACGAGUUUUGAUCGUCGCUCGAUGAACAGGGAUUGAUGUUGUCGAGACUUGACCGCAUUUAAACACACAUCUUCUUUACAAUGUUCAAAUGGUAACCGAGGUUCGGAUCGAUGUGUGGAUUAUAGUGCCAAAACUAUGUCAUAAUUAAUCUCUAAAUACGACGUUGUUUGGUGGC